rnacentral:lncRNA from 1 species
GGUAAAACUGCCCAGGCCCCGGGUAUCAGGAUCAUACUCAAACCCCAACCCCUGCCCGCCCCAGCCAGGAGGGGAGACGGUUGGGAGUGGGAGGCCUCGGCGCUGUUCUCUGGAUGCAACUGAGAUUGCCGCUAGAGGGUGACGCCUGGGUCGGAAUCCAAGGAUUUGUGAAGAGGUGACCCAAAUUUCAAGACAAUGUUGGAUGCAAACGGAUUUGCCAGCAACUGCAUCACUGUCAAAACCAGCUCUGCCCGUGUCUUCCGAAGAUACCAAGUGAAAUACAUGUAGAUGGGAUUUACAUCUGAAAAACCAAGUGAGAAACUGAAGACCAGAGAGGGUGAGUGGUUUACUCAGUUUGGCACAACUGACCCCAACCUAGCCCUCCAUGAGGACUGAGCGCAUGAGAGAUCCUGAGCCACAGCCGCCCAGCCCUGCUCCUCUCGAAUUUCUGACCUACAGGAACUGCAAGAAGUAAUGAAAGACUGCUGUUUAAAGCCACUGCAUUUUGGCAUGAUUUGUUAUGCAGUCGUAGAUAACCAGAAAACAUCGGAUUUACAUUUUAAGGUAAACUUUUUAUUGAAACAUCACAUACACACAGAGACGUCCACCAAUUGGCUCGAUGAGCUUUCUCAAAGGAAACACAUUCUCUGAGCAGUGUGCACAUCCAGACACAUCAUCUCCAUCCUCCAGAAGCCCCCUCCUGUUAUCGCCACUCACAGGUCACCCGUCUCCUGACUUGCAGCCACAGAGAUAGUCCUGCCUAAUUCUGAACGUGGUACAAACGGAAUCAUACAGAAUGGGCUUGGCUUCUUUCACUCUGGGCUGUGUUUAUGAGCAUCACCCAGAUUGCUGCAUGGAAGCCAUCGUUUGUUCAUUUUCACCACCAUAGAGUAUUCUACUGUUGAUGGGACAUAGGCUAUUUAUUCCUUCUACUGUUGAGGGACGCAUAGUUAUUUCCAGCUGGAGACUGGUAUAUGUCUCUUGGCUACCUUCUGCAUGCAUUUCUGUUGGAGGUUGUUUCAGGUAUCUCUUAACGUAUAACAGACCACCCUCAAAUUGAGUCCUUGAAACAAUUACCAUUUUCUUCUUUCUCAGGAUUUGGUGCAUGGGAUGGGCUCAGUUGGGCAGUUCUUCUGUUCCAUGUGAUGGUACUGGGGCUGCAGUCAUUCAGAGGCUCAACUGGGCUGAACGUGCAAGGUUUCUUGCUCACGUGGCCAUCAGUGGUGCUGGCUGCUGUUGGGAGCUCCACUGGACUUCUGUCCAGAGCUCCUCAGCUCACCUCUCUGUAUCCUUGCCCUGUGGCUCAGGCUUCUAACAAUACAGAGGCUGGAUUCCAAGAGGAGGGAAUUAGAAGCGUUCAGCCUUCUUAAGACCAGGAUUCAGAUGUCCCAGACUGUCACUGUAUUGACCGGAGCAUUUACAGGCCAGCCUAGUAAUUUUUCCAUCUUGGGCAGGAAUGGGUGGCAUAUGCUGGGGGUAGGGGUAGCAUUGUUGGGGAUCAUCUUUGGAGCUGUGUGCCAAGGAGUAAAUUGCUGGGCUGCUUUCUACCUGAGGAAGUCCACUAUGCUUGCUUGUGGAGAGUGGAUUGUGUGCUCAGAGUCCACAAGGAUUUAAGAAUCCGAGCCCUGCUGCCCUUGCCUCAGCCUGUGCAUUAGGGCCCGGUGGUGAGAGCACUGAGCCAUUGUGAAUCAAGGCCCCUCCCUCGACCUGCAUACUAACAGGCCAGAAGAGCUUGCUUGAUUUUGGUCCUAGGCUCCUGCCUGUGGGUUGGAUUCCAGGGGCACUCUCUCCUCCACAAACCAGACGGUGGCAGGUACAUCCCCUCAAUGGAAAUUGCCCACACUUCACCCUAAAGACAGAUCCUGCUGUUCAGCAACAAUGUGAGUGGCCCACACAUUUGUCCAGCAUGAAACCGUUUGCAGAUUCCUUUCCAGUACACAGUCCCGUCAGCCGGUCACUUCACGAUGACAGCUCCUCGAAGCACCUUUUGGUUUGCAGUUGUGUAGCUUAGAAGUAGGAGCCUGCACGGCUUCAGGAAUUCACAGAAGGAGCACACUUUGUGCUUGGAGAAGUUAAUUAUAGGAAUAUCCUGCAACCUGCUGCUCUGAGCCUGUGCACCUGGGGUGUUUCCCUGGAGGUCCUGUGUAUGAGGAUACUCAUCAGCAUGGGGUUUGGGAAGCCUAGCAGUGGAGACAACCUAGGUGGUCCUCUCCAGGGGAGUAGGUAAGAGCCCUACAGCAGUGAAAAGCAUUGAAGGAAAAGUGUGUUCAGCAGUGCUCUUAAUCUGAUCAGAGCAGCCUGAACACAUUCUAAACACAGGGCAUUUAGAACUAGGGUAGAGGCACUAGAGCACCAUAGAUACAAACUCAGAUUCUGAAGGUAAAUGCCCAGGUUCAAAUCCAAGCCCCCUCGCCAAGUGACCAUGACUCCCCCGAGUCACCUGACCUCUGUGUUUACAUCCUCAAAGUUAAGUAGUCAGGAAAGGGGGCUUGGGGCUUGCCACAUGGAUGGUUGCCACUCUCCUUUGCAAAGUGUAGUCCCCAAAAACAGGUGGAAGAGGGAAGGGUCCAAUUAGAAGGCCGAGUACCAGCUGCCAUGAAUAUGCCAGAGCUGCUGGCUAGUGAUAAAUAACUGAAACCCAGGGGGACAGCAGAGCUUGGGUGACCAUACAUUCUAGGAAAGAAAACAUGCCUGUUGUCCUGGCUUUUUAUCCAGCUUAGACAAAGAUGGGCAAAGAAAAUAAUUUAGAAAAUGGUAGAGAUGGGCACAGAGAAAGGGCACGGAGGGAGGCACAAACAGAAGGCCAAGUGAUGGUGGAGGCAGACAUUGGAGAAAUGCCUUUACAAGCCGGGGAAUGCCAAGGAUGCUGGCAACCCUGGGAGUGGGAAGAACCUGGAACACACCCUCCGUCAGAGUCUCCAGAAGGAACUGGCCCUUCAUCACCUUUCGGACUUCUGGCCUCCAGAACUGGGCAAGAAAAUGUUUCUGCUGUUGGAGGCCAUCCAGCUGGUGGUCAUUUGUUAUGGUUGCCACAGAAAACGAAUAUAGAUUUAGACAUCUAAUUUGCAUAUAUAGAUAUGCAUGUGUAUUUGUUAAAUAAAAGAUAAAGCAUGACAACUCGA